rnacentral:tRNA from 1 species
GCCGAGAUGGUGAAAUUGGUAGACGCACUAGAUUCAGAGUCUAGCGCCCGCAAGGGCUUGGGGGUUCAAAUCCCCCUCUCGGCA